rnacentral:tRNA from 1 species
GCCGACGUAGCUCAGUGGUAGAGCAACGCUUUUGUAAAGCGAAGGUCGUCGGUUCAAAUCCGACCGUCGGCUCCA